AUCCCAUGAAGAGAUCACUUACGAAGUAACUCUUUGAAUCUUCCCCACGCCUCGUAUAAGGAUUCAUCAUCCAAUUGUGAAAAAGUGGAUGUCUCAUUUUGCAACU
rnacentral:snoRNA from 1 species